UGAGUGCCCCAACUCCCAAAAACCUAUCAAUCUCCUCUUCUCUCCCGAGCCCUCACGACGCCGCCUCCCCUCCUUUGCCGACUCCAAAACCCACCACCGAACCUCCUUCUUCCCUCGCCCGAGCAUCGCACAGUCGCCUCCCCUCCUCUCUCGAGCGCGAACAGCCCAACGUCGCCUCUCCCUUCUUCUCUCUCGGUUCCGGCCGACCCCUUUCUUCCCCGAGCUCUCUUCCUUGCACGCGAGCACACAGCAACCGGCGAUCUCUCCUCCUCACGCCAGCACCAGAGGCGCCGCAACGAGCCAAUAGCCGACAUCGAUUCUCUUCUCUCCGAUCCGCACCCUAACUGAUCCAGCAAGUAGUUCUCCCCUUGUAGUUUUUCUUUCGCCAGGUAGCAAGUAGAAGAGUCAUGGAUGCUUGGAGAGUCCCGGCUGCCAGUUCCCUGUCACACUCGAGGAUAGUCUUCUUUUUGGUUUUGUUACUGAUUACGUGGUAUGUUGAUUUUGCGUAUUUUGUUUUCCAAUAAGUCGAUGUAGAUUUUGGAGUCUAGUUUGGUGGUUGUAGGUAUUUUAGUUAGUGAUUUUGUUGGUUUUACAUUCGUAUUAUUUUAUUGUUUUCUGCUGUGUUUACUUUCAGCCGUGUGGGUUGUUAUUAUACUGCGUGGUUGUGUUUAUAUCCAGUCGUGUGGAUUGUUGAAUAUGUUAUUAUAUUAUUUGUGUAUGUAUAUUGCUUCAUAUUGUCACCGGUACAGGGGAGAUAUUGUCAAAAUUAUCGGUGGAGACUCCUCUGGGGGCGUGACACCCCCCCCCUAGUGUUUUUCGAUCCAAUACAAACAACCAAGAGGACAUGAAGGAAUCGUCAAAGACGUUGCAAGGGAAGAUGGAAGACGAAGGUGAAUGCAGUCGCAUUCUCCCUUUGCUGCCCUAAUAAACCCACUACCUGUGAAUUUCAACAGUCCAAUCUGAGAGCAAAAAAGGUGGGCAAAUAAUCAACGUCGUGGGAUCAGGUGGCUAAAUCGAUAGAAUCGCAACUGUCGCCUUAUAAAGACAACCUCGGUAUGGUGGUGCCACAUGGUGACUUCCUACAAGUUUGCAUUUAUUAUGGAUUUGAUAGACCAAUCAUUAUGUAGAUACAUCAUCAUGAGUAUUGCAAACAUUUAUUGUGCCUUACUCGCCUAUUUUCAAGGCACUAACUGUAUGGCGACAAGGUUAUCAGGAUGACAUCCGCUCUAAAGAAUUAUGUCAAUUGGUGGAUCA